ensembl:snRNA U1 U1 spliceosomal RNA
ACACUUACCUAGCAGGGGAGAUACCAUGAUCAGGAAUGUGGUUUUCCCAGGGCGAAGUUUAUCCAUCACACUCCAGAACUCCAGAUAUGCUGACCCAUGCAGUUUCCCCAAAUGAGGGAAACUUGACUGCAUAAUUUGUGGUAGUCGGGGACUGUGUUCAAGCUCUCCCCCA